CGAAAGGGUUAGUAAUGGAUAGGUAACGUACCUCAAGCACUGGGAUAGCGUCAGAAAACUUCGGUUUUCAUCCGAAAGGGGCAGUAAUACCAGAUAAUAUCAUUUACUUGAUGUAAUUGAUCAAAGAUUUAUCGGCGUGAGAGCGGCCUAUCUCCUAUCAGCUAGUUGGUGAGGUAAAAGCUCACCAAGGCAACGACGGGUAGCGGGACUGAGAGGUUGACCCGCAACAUCGGGACUGAGACGCUGCCCGGACCUCCACGGAGGGCUGCAGUAACGAAUAUUGCGCAAUGGGCGAAAGCCUGACGCAGCGACGCCGCGUGUAGGAGGAAGUCCCUCGGGAUGUAAACUACUGUCAGGGGUAAGAAAGUGUGCUUAGGCACAUUGAUCUAACCCAGAGGAAGUCACGGCUAACUUCGUGCCAGCAGCCGCGGUAAGACGAAGGUGGCGAGCGUUGCUCGGUGUUACUGGGCUUAAAGCGUAUGUAGGCGGAAUGGUAAGCGUCUUGUGAAAUCCCUCAGCUUAACUGAGGAAUCGCUCGGCGAACUGUCAUUCUUGAGGCAAGUAGGGGUACAUGGAACUCUUGGUGGAGCGGUGGAAUGCGUAGAUAUCAAGAGGAACGCCGAUGGUGAAAACAGUGUACUGGGCUUGUCCUGACGCUGAGAUACGAAAGCGUGGGGAGCGAACGGGAUUAGAUACCCCGGGUAGUCCACGCCGUAAACGAUGUCUACUAGGUUG
rnacentral:rRNA from 1 species